rnacentral:misc_RNA from 1 species
UUUCCGUAGGUGAACCCGCGGAAGGAUCAUUAAAGUUAUAGUCCCCUGGCCCUCUGGGCUGGGGUCUUCUAUACCACCCUUUGUUUAUUACACCUUUGUUGCUUUGGCAGGCCUGCCCUCGGGCUGCUGGCUCCGGCCGGCUCGCGUCUGCCAGAGGACCUAAACUCUGUUUGUAUAUGAAGUCUGAGUACUAUAUAAUAGUUAAAACUUUCAACAACGGAUCUCUUGGUUCUG